CGAGUCGUUUGGCGAGGUCGAUUGCGCUUUGGUAUCCCAAUACGGUAUCGGUUAUCUCCGCCAUGUGCGGGCCGUGCUGCUCGAC
rnacentral:tRNA from 1 species